rnacentral:lncRNA from 1 species
GCCUCAGCGACCAGCUCUACCGAAGGCAGCCAUCUCCUUCACUGCCUGCCCCUGCGCCCGCGGCAUCCCAGGCCCGUCUUCUCUGGCCUCCAGGCUUGCAACAGCCCACCGAGGUUGGGGGUAGGGGGAAUGUUCCUCAGUCCCACCUUGGUCUUUCCAAGCCAACCUCUGUCCUGUGAAAUCCUCAGGAAAAAUCCCAGCCCCCAGCCUGGCAUUCAAGCCAUCACCGCUGGCCUUAGUCUGCCGUGAUUGACACCGUGCUCCAGCCAGGAUAACGCACUUGCAGCUCCUGGAAUGGGAGAACGUCAUGAGAAAGUCAGCAAGCUCCUCAAGGGUGGCAUAGAGGAGUGGUCAGGACCAGACACCUGCAGCCAGCUCUGCUCCUUCCUAACUUCCCGCCCUGGCGAAGUUACCAGAUUUGUAUGCGUCCCAGUUAGCCCUAAUAUAAAACUUUGACAAGUCUCAAAAACGUAAUAAGGAGUGGGUAGUGGAGAAUCAGAGAAGUUAGACGAUCAGGCCAAACAGCAGGUGAAGGCAGGGAUGGCCAGAGGUCCUGAGUGUAGCUGACUGCUCUCCAGCUUGAAACCCCAAGACUGCCUUUCUCUGCAGCACUCCCCACAUUACUGUUUACCGCCAAAACAGCCGCUUUCCCUUCUACUUCUGGGCCUGGGGCAGGGCCCUCCUGAACUGCAAGGAAAGCCCCAUUCCCCGGCAUCUCCUGCUCUGUCCCCUGGGCAUCUGGAAGCCCUGGUUGAGCAUUCAUUAGCUUUCUGGGGGUGGCUGAGCCCGUCCAGGAACCUGGAGCUGAGUCUCCACAUGCCCCCGCUUGUCACUUCGGGCAGAGUGGACAUUAGGAAGAAACUAAUGCCGAACUGGAGGGUGCUGUGGGGGCAUAUUGUGGGGCCGAGCUAGGAAAUGCAGUGCUGCGGGUUUACAGAGCACAUCAUGCUCUUCCAGUCCUUCAUGUUGCUGGCUUAAAGACCAGGAAUUUCCCCAGCUGAGAUUGUCUUCUGCCUUACACCUUCUACCAUGCGGUCUGGAGGUCUUGACUUUCAGAGUCAACCUAAAAAUCUCUCUAUAUCGAACUGCCCCAAGUGUCAGGCAAAGGGACGCUUGUUUUCUUGUGUGGAGUCUACAUUUUGUAUUCCCAAAUGUAAUAAUUUAUCAGUAGUUCAAUUAUUAGGUUAAACUACAAACGAAAAAAAGAAAGGAAAGAAAAGAAGGAAAGAAAGAGAGAAAGAGAAAGAGAGAAAGAAAGAAAAGAAAGAAAGAAAGAAAGAAAGAAAGAAAGAAAGAAAGAAAGAAAGAAAGAAAGAAAGAAAGAAAGGGAGAGAGAAGAAACGGUAAGAAAAUCUACAGGUCUCAAAUAUAAGUGGUCUUCCUGCCCAGCUCCAUGCCAGUCCGCGCACCAGCCUGAGACAUUCAUGGGCUCGAAGGAAAAGCCCUGGGGCCAGCUGUAGAGAUGAGCCCAAACCAGAUCUGGACAAGGAGUGUCAGCUCCAAAGAACUCAGACUGGGGAGCCCAGUGGGGUCGGGGACUUGUUGGAGAAAGGGC